GGUCGCUUAGCUCAGUUGGUUAGAGCGUGGUGCUAAUACCUUCGCACGGUCCUUCUUGCGGGCCCGGUGGUCAACGCCAAGGUCACAGGUUCGACCCCUGUAGUGAUCA